AACCUGACCGGUGGUGUUGGUUCGCCCUGUCCGCCAGACGGGGUGUCGUAAGAGGGAACCCGGUGCGAUACCGGGACUGCCCCGCAGCGGUGAGUGGGAACGACCGCCGUCAUCAAGCACUGGGCCGCGCACGCGGUCUGGGAAGCGACGGCCAGUAGGUGGCUCCGCGUCAAGCGAAGCCGUGCCCGCGAGUCCGAAGACCUGCCAGCACCGCGUACGCCGG
rnacentral:ncRNA from 1 species